CGCACAUUGCGCCCUUUGGCAUUCCGAGGGGCAUGCCUGUUCGAGCGUCAUUACACCACUCAAGCCUGGCUUGGUAUUGGGCGACGGGGUCACCCCCGCGCCCCAAUUUCGCCGGCUGGAACGACCCGAAUCUCAGCGUUGUGGCAUACGAAUUCGCUGGCGAGGGGGGCGGUCUGGCCGUAAAACUUCGUUUAAGGUUGACCUCGGAUCAGGUAGGGAUACCCGCUGAACUUAA
rnacentral:misc_RNA from 1 species